UACAGAGGGGGCAAGCGUUGUUCGGAAUUACUGGGCGUAAAGAGCGUGUAGGCGGCCAGGUAGGUCUGCUGUGAAAACUCGAGGCUCAACCUCGAGACGUCGGCGGAAACCAUCUGGCUAGAGUCCGGAAGAGGAGAGUGGAAUUCCUGGUGUAGCGGUGAGAUGCGCAGAUAUCAGGAGGAACACCGGUGGCGAAGGCGGUUCUCUGGGCAUUACCUGACGCUGAGGAGCGAAAGUGUGGGGGAGCGAACAGG
rnacentral:rRNA from 1 species